rnacentral:rRNA from 1 species
GAUGAACGCUGGCGGCGUGCCUAAUACAUGCAAGUCGAGCGAACGGACGAUAAGCUUGCUUCUCUGAUGUUAGCGGCGGACGGGUGAGUAACACGUGGAUAACCUACCUAUUAUACUGGGAUAACUUCGGAAAACCGUAGCUAAUACCGGCUAAUAUUUUGAACCGCAUGGUUCAAAAGUGAAAGACGGUCUUGCUGUCACUUAUAGAUGGAUCCGCGCUGCAUUAGCUAGUUGGUAAGGUAACGGCUUACCAAGGCAACGAUGCAUAGCCGACCUGAGAGGGUGAUCAGCCACACUGGAACUGAGACACGGUCCAGACUCCUACGGGAGGCAGCAGUAGGGAAUCUUGGGCAAUGGGCGAAAGCCUGACGGAGCAACGCCGCGUGAGUGAUGAAGGUCUUCGGAUCGUAAAGCUCUGUUAUUAGGGAAGAACAUAUGUGUAAGUAACUGUGCACAUCUUGACGGUACCUAAUCAGAAAGCAACGGCUAACUACGUG